CCCCUCUUAUUCUAUCGUUAUCCGGAUUUAUUGGGUUUAAAGGGAGCGUAGGUGGACUGGUAAGUCAGUUGUGAAAGUUUGCGGCUCAACCGUAAAAUUGCAGUUGAUACUGUCAGUCUUGAGUACAGUAGAGGUGGGCGGAAUUCGUGGUGUAGCGGUGAAAUGCUUAGAUAUCACGAAGAACUCCGAUUGCGAAGGCAGCUCACUAGACUGCAACUGACACUGAGGCUCGAAAGUGUGGGUAUCAAAC
rnacentral:rRNA from 1 species